UACAGAGGUCCCGAGCGUUGUUCGGAUUCACUGGGCGUAAAGGGUGGCGUAGGUGGCGGAUGAAAGUUCGAUGUGAAAUCUCCGGGCUUAACCCGGAAAAGGCAUUGAAACUAUGUUGCUUGAGGUUUGGAGGGGGGACUGGAAUUCUUGGUGUAGCAGUGAAAUGCGUAGAUAUCAAGAGGAACACCAGUGGCGAAGGCGGGUCCCUGGACAACACCUGACACUGAGGCACGAAAGCUAGGGGAGCAACAGG
rnacentral:rRNA from 1 species